ACACACAAUACUGUCAACACAGGGUGACACACAGACAUACACCCCCUCAACACACACAGUAUCAAAGCUAGUUCUGUCUCUCUCUGUAGUCUAGUUUUCCAGUGUGUGUGUGUAUGUGAGUGAGUGAGUGAGUGAGUGAGUGAGUGAGUGAGUGAGUGAGUGAGUGAGUGAGUGAGUGAGUGAGUGAGUGAGAUUAGGAUCUGAUCUCAUGCAGAGGGAGCUGUGUGUCUGGAAUGUUUAUGUUGGCAGACCACGAUGGAAGCACAACAUUCCAGAGAAAAUCUGUAAAAAUAUUCCCCCUCUCCCAGAGAGAGAGAUCCUGACUGCUGUUAUUCACUAUUUUAGUCAAACAGAUUGAGAGGAGCCAGGUAACCACAGACAGAGGGAGGUAGAUGGAGACAGAGGGAGGUAGAUGGAGACAGAGGGAGGUAGAUGGAGACAGAGGGAGGUAGAUGGAGACAGAGGGAGGUAGAUGGAGACAGAGGGAGGUAGAUGGAGACAGAGGGAGGUAGAUGGAGACAGAGGGAGGGAGAUGGAGACAGAGGGAGGGAGAUGGAGACAGAGGGAGGGAGAGAAAAAGGGAGAAGUAGAAAGAGGGAGGGAGAAGUAGAAAGAGGGAGGUAGAUGGAGACAGAGGGAGGUAGAGAAAAAGGGAGCAGUAGAAAGAGGGAGGUAGAGAAAAAGGGAGCAGUAGAAAGAGGGAGGUAGAGAAAAAGGGAGCGGUAGAAAGAGGGAGGUAGAGAAAAAGGGAGCGGUAGAAAGAGGGAGGUAGAGAAAAAGGGAGAGGUAGAAAGAGGGAGGUAGAGAAAAAGGGAGAGGUAGAAAGAGGGAGGUAGAGAAAAAGGGAGAAGUAGAAAGAGGGAGGUAGAGAAAAAGGGAGAAGUAGAAAGAGGGAGGUAGAGAAAAAGGGAGAAGUAGAAAGAGGGAGGUAGAGAAAAAGGGAGAAGUAGAAAGAGGGAGGUAGAGAAAAAGGGAGAAGUAGAAAGAGGGAGGUAGAGAAAAAGGGAGAAGUAGAAAGAGGGAGGUAGAGAAAAAGGGAGAAGUAGAAAGAGGGAGGUAGAGAAAAAGGGAGAAGUAGAAAGAGGGAGGUAGAGAAAAAGGGAGAAGUAGAAAGAGGGAGGUAGAGAAAAAGGGAGAAGUAGAAAGAGGGAGGUAGAGAAAAAGGGAGAAGUAGAAAGAGGGAGGUAGAGAAAAAGGGAGAAGUAGAAAGAGGGAGGUAGAGAAAAAGGGAGCGGUAGAAAGAGGGAGGUAGAGAAAAAGGGAGCGGUAGAAAGAGGGAGGUAGAGAAAAAGGGAGCGGUAGAAAGAGGGAGGUAGAGAAAAAGGGAGCGGUAGAAAGAGGGAGGUAGAGAAAAAGGGAGCGGUAGAAAGAGGGAGGUAGAGAAAAAGGGAGCGGUAGAAAGAGGGAGGUAGAGAAAAAGGGAGCGGUAGAAAGAGGGAGGUAGAGAAAAAGGGAGCGGUAGAAAGAGGGAGGUAGAGAAAAAGGGAGCGGUAGAAAGAGGGAGGUAGAGAAAAAGGGAGCGGUAGAAAGAGGGAGGUAGAGAAAAAAGGAGAGAGAAAGAGGGAGGUAGAGGAAAAGGGAGAGAGAAAGAGGGAGGUAGAGGAAAAGGGAGAGAGAAAGAGGGAGGUAGAGAAAAAGGGAGAGAGAAAGAGGGAGGGAGAGAAAAAGGGAGAGAGAAAGAGAGGUAGAGAAAAAGGGAGAGAAAGAGGGAGGUAGAGAAAAAGGUAGAGAAAAAGGGAGCGGUAGAAAGAGGGAGAGAGAGAAAAAGGGAGAGAGAAAAGGGGAGGUAGAGAAAAAGGGAGGUAGAGAAAAAGGGAGCGGUAGAAAGAGGGAGAGAGAGAAAAAGGAAGAGAGAAAGAGGGAGGUAGAGAAAAAGGGAGAGAGAAAGAGGGAGGUAGAGAAAAAGGGAGCGGUAGAAAGAGGGAGGGAGGUAGAGAAAAAGGGAGCGGUAGAAAGAGGGAGGGAGGUAGAGAAAAAGGGAGCGGUUGAAAGAGGGAGGGAGGUAGAGAAAAAGGGAGCGGUUGAAAGAGGGAGAGAGAGAAAAAGGGAGAGAGAAAGAGGGAGGUAGAGAAAGAGGGAGGUAGAGAAAGAGGGAGGUAGAGAAAGAGGGGGAGAGAAAGAGGGGGAGAGAAAGAGGGAGGUAGAGAAAAAGGGAGCGGUAGAAAGAGGGAGAGAGAGAAAAGGGAAGAGAGAAAGUUUGAGGUAGAGAAAGAGGGAGGGAGAGAAAAAGAGAGAGAGAAGAGGUCGAGAAAAAGGGAGAGAAAGAGGGAGGAAGAGAAAAAGGGAGGUAGAGAAAAAGGGAGAGAGAAAAAGGGAGCGGUAGAAAGAGGGAGAGAGAGAAAAAGGGAGGGAAAGAAAAAGGGAGGUAGAGAAAGAGGGAGGUAGAGAAAAAGGGAGGUAGAGAAAGAGGGAGGUAGAGAAAGAGGGAGGUAGAGAAAAAGGGAGCGGUAGAAAGA